GACGAACGCUGGCGGCGUGCUUAACACAUGCAAGUCGAACGGAAAGGCCCUGCUUUUGUGGGGUGCUCGAGUGGCGAACGGGUGAGUAACACGUGAGUAACCUGCCCUUGACUUUGGGAUAACUUCAGGAAACUGGGGCUAAUACCGGAUAGGAGCUCCUGCUGCAUGGUGGGGGUUGGAAAGUUUCGGCGGUUGGGGAUGGACUCGCGGCUUAUCAGCUUGUUGGUGGGGUAGUGGCUUACCAAGGGUUUGACGGGUAGCCGGCCUGAGAGGCUGACCGGCCACAUUGGGACUGAGAUACGGCCCAGACUCCUACGGGAGGCAGCAGUGGGGAAUAUUGCACAAUGGGCGGAAGCCUGAUGCAGCAACGCCGCGUGCGGGAUGACGGCCUUCGGGUUGUAAACCGCUUUCGCCUGUGACGAAGCGUGAGUGACGGUAAUGGGUAAAGAAGCACCGGCUAACUACGUG
rnacentral:rRNA from 1 species